rnacentral:rRNA from 1 species
CUUGUUGGUGGGGUGAUGGCCUACCAAGGCGAGGACGGGUAGCCGGCCUGAGAGGGCGACCGGCCACACUGGGACUGAGACACGGCCCAGACUCCUACGGGAGGCAGCAGUGGGGAAUAUUGCACAAUGGGCGCAAGCCUGAUGCAGCGACGCCGCGUGGGGGAUGACGGCCUUCGGGUUGUAAACCUCUUUCAGUUCCGACGAAGCGCAAGUGACGGUAGGAACAGAAGAAGGACCGGCCAACUACGUGCCAGCAGCCGCGGUGAUACGUAGGGUCCGAGCGUUGUCCGGAAUUAUUGGGCGUAAAGGGCUUGUAGGCGGUUAGUCACGUCGGAAGUGAAAUCUCAGGGCUCAACCCUGAGCCUGCUUCCGAUACGGGCAAACUAGAGGGAUGCAGGGGAGAACGGAAUUCCUGGUGGAGCGGUGGAAUGCGCAGAUAUCAGGAGGAACACCGGUGGCGAAGGCGGUUCUCUGGGCAUUUCCUGACGCUGAGAAGCGAAAGCGUGGGGAGCAAACAGGCUUAGAUACCCUGGUAGUCCACGCCGUAAACGGUGGGCACUAGGUGUGGGGGACAUUCCACGUUCUCCGUGCCGAAGCUAACGCAUUAAGUGCCCCGCCUGGGGAGUACGGCCGCAAGGCUAAAACUCAAAGGAAUUGACG